rnacentral:rRNA from 1 species
AUACGGAGGGUGCAAACGUUGUUCGGAAUUACUGGGCGUAAAGCGCGCGUAGGCGGUUUGUUAAGUCAGAUGUGAAAGCCCAAGGCUCAACCUUGGACGUGCAUUUGAAACUGGCAGACUUGAGUACUCGAGGGGAUGGUGGAAUUCCCGGUGUAGAGGUGAAAUUCGUAGAUAUCGGGAGGAAUACCGGUGGCGAAGGCGACCAUCUGGCCAGAUACUGACGCUGAGGUGCGAAAGCAUGGGGAGCAAACAGAAUUAGAAACCCUAGUAGUCC